AUUUCUGUGUGGCAAUGGCUCUGUGUGUGUGUGUGUAAAUGAGUCACUUUGCUGUCAGUGGAAAUUAACACAACACUGUAAACCAACUCUACUUCAAUACAAUUUAAAAAGAGAGAGACCAGGCUCUGACUCCCACUUUCAAUCCUACCCCCCUUUUUUUUUUCCUUUCAUGGCUACACUCACAGAAUAUGGAAGUUUCCAGGCCAGGGCCUGAAUCCAAGCCGCAGCUUUCACAACUGGGAAAUGCCAGAUCCUUAACCCGCUGAGCCAGGCCGGGGGUCACACUUCCCAAGUGACCUGACCCGCUGCAGUCGGAUUUUUCUUCUUUUUUUUCAUUUUUGGCUGCCCUGCAGCAUGUGGAAGUUUCCAGGUUAGGAUCAGCUUUGAACCACAGAUGUGACCUAUCCUAAGCUGCAGCAACACCGGAUCCUUUAACCCACUGUGCCUGGCCAGGGAUGGAACCUGUGUCUGGCAGAGGCACCACCAAUCCCAUUGCGCCACAGCAGGCGCCCCUGGACGAUGCCAUCUCUCCAUGGUGCGACCUUGGACUUGUGACUGGCCUUCCCUGGGCUUCCUUCGCCACCUGCAGUAUAGGUCUAACAGUAGCUUUCCCAACAGGGAUGCCAGGAGGAUGAAUCAGAAGGAAGCAUUCAAUGAAGACCUGCCUGUCUCCCCUGGGUUUCCUACCCUUACACUAGUGUUAUGUGGGGCUGGAUAACUGCGUUGUAAGAGCCAUCCUACAAUGUUUGGCAGCAUCGCUGGCCUCUUAGCAACAGAUGCCAGCAGUAUCUCCGCAACUGUGACUCCAGACAGCGCUACAAGUCCCCUUGGGGAUGGGGGGGUGGCACAGUCGCCCCUGGUUGAGAGCCACCGGCCCAAUGGACAAAUAUUUACUCAGGGCAAAGGGCUCUGGAGCAAAUCCCAGUUCUGCCACCUCCCAGCUCUUCGUCCUUGAACAAGGUACGACGCCUUUCACACAGAGUUGCCCUGCCCGGGGUGUAAAAUGGGAAGAGGAGUCCUACUAACCCAAGAGUCGCGGAAUCUCACAACUCCAUGAAAGUGCGACCGAACUUGUACGGACACGCACGAGGGGAGCCACCUGCACCCCGCCCGCGAAGGAUCGCAACAACGGUGGCUUUCUAUUGGCUCUCGCCGUGGCGACCCACUCACGCCCAUCUCCGAAUGGCUCCACAAGCACC